AUCAGACAGUAUUUGUCUUUCUCUGUCUGACUGAUUUCACUUAGCACAAUGCCCUCAAGUUUCACUUGUGUUGUCAGAAAUGAAGUGGAAAUGGACUUUCAUCAAAUUAGUUUCUCUGCCUCAAACAAGUAGCGAAGAGCUGGAAUGCUACAUGGCUUGUGCAAGGCCUGACAGUCUGGUGAAGGAGAGCAUGCCUUGAACAAGCUGCUGUCCUAAGGAAAAUGAGAGACGUGUGAAGCAGAGAUGAACUGAACCUACAACCUGGAGCCAAGUCCAGUCAAGAUCAGCCAGACUGUAGUGGACCCUAGGGUGCAUGAGUAAGAAAUAAAUACCUGUUUCUUUAUA